UACGUAGGGUCCGAGCGUUGUCCGGAAUUAUUGGGCGUAAAGGGCUCGUAGGCGGUCCGUCACGUCGGGAGUGAAAACUCAGGGCUCAACCCUGAGCGUGCUUCCGAUACGGGCGGACUAGAGGUAUGCAGGGGAGAACGGAAUUCCUGGUGUAGCGGUGGAAUGCGCAGAUAUCAGGAGGAACACCGGUGGCGAAGGCGGUUCUCUGGGCAUUACCUGACGCUGAGACGCGAAAGCGUGGGGAGCAAACAGG
rnacentral:rRNA from 1 species